ACGAUGUUCCGCUGCUAGGUUAUCCAGGCAUGAGCAUUAG
rfam:Pontibacillus yanchengensis Y32 contig7, whole genome shotgun sequence.